GCCAGUGUGGCAUAGUGGUUUGAGCAUUGGACUAGGACUCUGGAGACCAGGGUUCCAAUCCCAGCUUGGGCA